rnacentral:rRNA from 1 species
AUGAACGCUGGCGGCGUGCUUAACACAUGCAAGUCAUGGGGGGCCCAGCAAUGGGCAACCGGCGAACGGGUGCGUAACACGUGAGCAACCUACCCAGGUGUGGGGGGAUAGCCGGCCCAACGGCCGGGUAAUACCGCAUACGCUCUUUUCGAGGCAUUUUCGGAGAGAGAGGAAACCUUCGGGGCACCAUGAGGGGCUCGCGGCCUAUCAGCUAGUUGGCGAGGGGUAACGGCUCACCAAGGCUACGACGGGUAGCUGGUCUGAGAGGAUGGCCAGCCACAUUGGGACUGAGAAACGGCCCAGACUCCUACGGGAGGCAGCAGUGGGGGAAUCUUGCGCAAUGGCCUAACGGCUGACGCAGCGACGCCCGCGUGAGGGAUGACGCUCUUCGGAGUGUAAACCUCUUUUGCCUGGAACGAAUCGUCAGCAUCCGCUGACUUGACGGUACCGGGUGAAUAAGCACCGGCUAACUCCGUGCCAGCAGCCCGCGGUAAUACGGGGGGGUGCGAGCGUUUGUCCGGAAUCACUGGGCGUAAAAGGGCGCGUAGGUGGCGUGAUAAGGGUGUGGUGGUGAAAGCCCGGGGCUCAACCCCGGGUCGGCCAUGCCGACUGUCACGCUCGAGUGCUGUAGGGGCAGGGCGGAAUUCCGGGUGUGUAGCGGUGGAAUGCGUAGAGAUCCGGAGGAAGACCGGUGGCGAAGGCGGCCUGCUGGGCAGUUACUGACACUGAUGCGCGACAGCGUGGGGAGCAAAACAGGAUUAGAUACCCUGGUAGUCCACGCCCGUAAACGAUGGGUACUAGGUGCUUGGGGGAGCGACCCCCUUGGGUGCCGGCCGCUAACGCAGGAAGUACCCCGCCUGGGGAGUACGGCCGCAAGGCUGAAACUCAAAGGAAUUGACGGGGGCCCGCACAAGCGGUGGAGCAUGUGGUUCAAUUCGACGCAACGCGAAGAACCUUACCUGGACUCGAAAUGCAGUUGACCGUUUCAGAGAUGAGACUUUCCCCGCAAGGGACGGCUGUAUAGGUGCUGCAUGGCUGUCGUCAGCUCGUGUCGUGAGAUGUUGGGUUAAGUCCCCGCAACGAGCGCAACCCUCAUCCUUAGUUGCCCGGCCCGCAAGGGAGGCACCCUAAGGAAACCGCCCUCGAUAACGGGGGAGGAAGGUGGGGAUGACGUCAAGUCCUCAUGGCCUUUAUGUCCCAGGGCUACACACGUGCUACAAUGGCACGGUACAAAGCCGUCGCAAACUCGCGAGGAGGGAGCCUAAUCGCAAAAAACCGUGUCUCAGUUCGGAUUGGAGGCUGCAACCUCGACUGCCAUGAAGCUGGAAUCGCUAGUAAUCGCAGUAUCAGAACGCUGCGGUGAAUACGUUUCUCCGGGCCUUGUACACACCGCCCGUCACAUCACGAAAAGUGGUAGCCUACUAGAAGGCAAGUUGGCCAACCGCAAGGGGGCUAGCCUGCCCAAGGUAUGAAUUCAUGAUUGGGGUG